GAGCAGGGCCGUGACUGGCGUUCGGGUGGAUCACCACCGGGGAGCGGCCCGGCGUACGCACCUCCCCGUACGUCGACUGCCGCGCGCCUGGGCGAACCGC
rfam:Streptomyces sp. RSD-27 Contig1531, whole genome shotgun sequence.